rnacentral:rRNA from 1 species
CCCUUAGAUGUUCUGGGCCGCACGCGCGCUACACUGACGAUGGCAACGAGUUUUUCCUUCGCCGAAAGGUGUGGGUAAUCUUUUGAAACAUCGUCGUGCUGGGGAUAGAUCAUUGCAAUUUUUGAUCUUGAACGAGGAAUUCCUAGUAAGCGCGAGUCAUCAGCUCGCGUUGAUUACGUCCCUGCCCUUUGUACACACCGCCCGUCGCUACUACCGAUUGAAUAGUUUAGUGAGGACUCCUGAUUGGCGCCGCCGCCCCGGCAACGGAGCAGCGGACUGCCGAAAAGUUGUUCAAACUUGAUCAUUUAGAGGAAGUAAAAGUCGUAACA